rnacentral:lncRNA from 1 species
AGGCGCUCUCCCUCCCAGUCUGUGCUGAACCCAAUGUCCCAAUGCGGCACUAGGGGGCGCUGUGCUGCAUUGAGUGGAGUGGGGGCUCAGCAGGGGGUGCUGUCCCCUCCCAGUCAGUGCUGAACCCAAUGUCCCAGUGCAACACUGGGGGGUGCUGUGCUACAGGGAAAAGCGUUAGUGACUCAACAGAGGGUGCGCUUUCUUCUGAGUCAGCACUGGUCCCCGGGCCCUAUCAAGGUUUUAGGGGAUGCAAUGCUACUGAAACUGCCAUUUGUCAGCUGACUUAUCAAACAGAGGUUCUGGUCAUUAAAUGUCCUGUGACCCUUUCAACAAGGGUUAGGGUCCUGGUGCUCUGGCUGAAUUCUAAUUUAGGUAUUUAAUUUCUCUCUGCCUAACAUCCUCCUCUGUCUGGGUUCAACUGGCUGCAUAAUUCUUUCUUUUUCCUCCUAAAAUCGGUUGUGUUGCUGGUGGAGAAUGGCUGUUGUGCUCCAUGCCAGAGGUGGCUGCAUUUCAGUGGGAACUGAGUUGCAAUAAAUCCUUUACUUACGGCUCAGAUUUUGGUUUCAUUUACACUGCUGCAAACACGGAGCUAGUCAAAGGAAGUCAGUGAAGUUACUGCAGAUUGCACAGCUGUACCUGAAACCAGAAUCUGGUCACAGCCUGUAUAAUGCUUUGGAAUCAUGCUGGAUGGCACUGUAUAAAUGGGAGGUACCAUUGUUAACAAUAAUCUCUCAACCAUUGUGUUUGCACCUCACAGAUCUGGGACUCCGUGGAGAAGAGUGACAUUGGCUGUACAGCUGGCAGUGGAAAGAACAAUCUGGGGGUAUUUACGGAUGCUGGACUGGCCCUGGAGACGAGCAAUAGGAUUUCCACAGUCCAGAGAACAGAUCCAGAGUGUCCCCGGCCAGCAAAACGCCGACGUCGCUCCGUUCAGCUCAUUGAAUAUAAGGCAAUCAAAAGUAGGUACUAAUCAGGGGGUUUGCUGUCCUUGGUCAAAGCAAGCAUGCGAAGCAGGAAUGUGAUUCCCUAGUGUGAGCAGUUUCACCCUGCUACAGCCUCCUGCCAGCUGCAUUUCUUGUAACAUGAGAUGAGGGAGUCUGGAUAGACUUCCAUAUGAGGAGAGAUUGGAACUGGUCAAUUUAUAGAGGCGAUGCGAUAGACAUAUAGAAAAUAAUGAAUGGUAAAUAGCUCUUUGGGGCACGGACCGUCUCUCCCAGCACUGUGGGGUUCUGGGCCAUGACUGGGGACCCAAAGUGCUACUACAAUUCAAAUAACAACAACAGGUACAUUGUUACAUUACCCAUAUAAGCAGAAGGAGACACUCAACCCAACGGAAUGGUUUCUAAUUAAGAAUUUAU